UCCUCCGUGGCGCAAUUGGCUAGCGCGUCUGACUGUUAAGAUGGCAAUCAGGAGGUUCGUGGUUCGAGCCCACGCGGGGGAG